rnacentral:pre_miRNA from 1 species
GGGAGCAACAGCCCCAGGGGGGGGGCAGUUCUGGAAACCUGGAUUCAGCCCCCGCAGGAACUCCGGAGCUUUCCUUCUGCAGGGCCUGGAGGUUCCGGGGGGGG